AGAAGCACUGCAGACUUGUCUCUGGAAUGUAGUGAGUGAUGUUGGCUGCAACCUCCGCCUCCCUGGUUCAAGCGAUUCUCCUGCCUCAGCCUCCUGAGUAGCUGAGACUACAGGACUGAUUUUCCAUCUGGCCUAACCAGAGUCUAAAGUUGCUGAAUCAAACAGAGCCAAUAGGUUGGACUUAAGCUGGCUGGAGCAUGCAUAGAUCUGGAAAGCACAAGUAGGUUCCUUUUGUAAAGGGCUAUCAAGUGGAUGCCUCUUCUUCCCUC
rnacentral:lncRNA from 13 species